rnacentral:rRNA from 1 species
UACAGAGGGUGCAAGCGUUAAUCGGAAUUACUGGGCGUAAAGCGCGCGUAGGUGGUUUGUUAAGUUGGAUGUGAAAUCCCCGGGCUCAACCUGGGAACUGCAUUCGAAACUGGCAGGCUAGAGUCUUGUAGAGGGGGGUAGAAUUCCAGGUGUAGCGGUGAAAUGCGUAGAGAUCUGGAGGAAUACCGGUGGCGAAGGCGGCCCCCUGGACAAAGACUGACGCUCAGGUGCGAAAGCGUGGGGAGCAAACAGG